rnacentral:rRNA from 1 species
UAGUAAUAGUUAUAUUCUUGAAACUUAAAGAAUUUGGCGGUAUUUUAAUCUUUUCAGAGGAACCUGUUCUGUAAUCGAUAUUCCUCGUUAAAUUUUACUAAAUUAUUUGUAUAUCGUUGUCGAAAGAAUAAAUUUUCUAAUAUUUUUAUUAAAAUAAAUGUCAAAUCAAGGUGCAGUUUAUAAUUUAGUAGAAAUGGGUUACAAUAAAUGUAUUUAGGAUUUUAAUAAAGGUGGAUUUGAAAGUAAAUAAAUU